rnacentral:rRNA from 1 species
UGGGGAAUAUUGCACAAUGGGCGCAAGCCUGAUGCAACGACGCCGCGUGAGGGAUGACGGCCUUCGGGUUGUAAACCUCUUUCAGCAGGGAAGAAGCGCAAGUGACGGUACCUGCAGAAGAAGCGCCGGCUAACUACGUGCCAGCAGCCGCGGUAAUACGUAGGGCGCAAGCGUUGUCCGGAAUUAUUGGGCGUAAAGAGCUCGUAGGCGGUUUGUCGCGUCUGCUGUGAAAACGCGAGGCUCAACCUCGCGCCUGCAGUGGGUACGGCAGACUAGAGUGCGGUAGGGGAGACUGGAAUUCCUGGUGUAGCGGUGGAAUGCGCAGAUAUCAGGAGGAACACCGGUGGCGAAGGCGGGUCUCUGGGCCGUAACUGACGCUGAGGAGCGAAAGCAUGGGGAGCGAACA